AGUGAACGCUGGCGGUGGGCCUAACACAUGCAAGUCGAGCGGGCGCACAGUAAGAUUUUGCUCGUAGGGUUGGCGAGUGGCGGAGGGGUGAGGGAUAGAUCGGAGUCUAAUAUUGCGAGGGGGACGACGUAGGGAGACUUACGAUAAUACGGCAUAGAAGCUACGGGUUGAUUCAGUGGAUGUUCGGGGCUUGCCUGACUGAAUGAGACGAUGCCGGAUUAGCUUGUCGACGUGGUAAAGGCCCACGAAGGCGACGAUCCGUAGCUGAUCUGACAGGAUGAUCGGCCACACUGGAACUGAGACACGGUCCAGACUCCUACGGGAGGCAGCAGUGGGGAAUAUUCGACAAUGGGCGCAAGCCUGAUCCAGCCAUGCCGCGUGGGUGAAGAAGGCCUUCGGGUUGUAAAGCCCUUUUGUUGGGGAAGAACAGCUGCAGGUGAAAACCCCGCUGUUCUGACGGUACCCAAAGAGUAAGCACCGGCUAACUUCGUG
rnacentral:rRNA from 1 species